GCUCCCGGGCGCCACAAGGGCGUUCUGCCGCCCGCCUCCCCUCCUCCUUCUCCUCCCUCUCCUCCUCUGGUUGCAGCGGGCGAGGACACGUCAGGGGACAUAAAUAAAUAAAUAAUUCCAUUCACCGGGUGACAGCGAAGCGAACCAGCUGUGGCUGGGCGGGGGGUAUCGGAGAGCUGUAGCGCCCACCGUGUGUCUGAGCCAGGUAAAGAGGUAUUUGGAGGCAAGCUAGGAAGCUUCAGAAAUACUGACUUCUUACUGCUACUCAGGGAAGCUGGAGGAGCCAUUGUGAACUGAAGAACAGAGUCAAUCUUAUGAUGUGAUGCUUUCCUAUAAAGCCUUAGAGAAGAGGAUCUGGGAACCAAGACUCUGGGACCUUUUGUGCUAAUAGAGCUUUAUAAUCAAGAAUCUGCUCUACCUCUCUUCUUUUGUAUUGCCUUCAAAUAUUACACUUCAAUGUAAAGCAAACAGGCUUGAAGAUUCUACAUACAACCCAAAGAUAUCUGCAAAAGUAGUCAUCUUUCAACAGGUUACUUGAAUUUCAAAUACAGGAGCAGAGAUGCCACCAGCAACAAGUCCUCCACCUCUACACCCACCUCCUGAUGGAGGGUGGGGCUGGGUUGUAGUUGGAGCAUCUUUUAUCUGCAUUGGAUUUUCUUAUGCAUUCCCCAAAGCUGUCACAGUAUUCUUCAAAGAAAUUCAGGGAAUAUUCAAUGCUAGCUACAGUGAAAUAGCGUGGAUAUCAUCCAUUAUGCUGGCUAUUAUGUAUGCAGGAGGUAAGAUUCUUGAGAUAAAUAGAAUUCUGGGUUAAGAAAACGUUAUCUUCUUUCCACAUGUUUUACGUGCAGUGUGUUGGUCAAUCUAAGUCCUGUUUUCAUAUUAUAGUCAGUUAAAAUUGGUCAAAAGUGUAGUUAGAACUCAAUUGUUAAUAAUUUUAAGCUAUUCCUUUCACUUUAAGGUUGAAUAUAGAGUAUUUGAAUAAAGAUUUAUUUGAACACACCAAAAUGGAAUUUCCAAAGGAAUCACCUUUCCACUUAAUGUGGAUUAAAGGCUACAUUAUAGUGUUGAUAUAUGAUACAUAUAUCAUAGCAGAACUGGCUUUCCUGAAUGAAAAAAUAUCUUAAGUUGUUGAUAGGCCCUAAAAGCAUUUCCAUAGCAGAACUGGCUUUCCUGAAUGAAAAAAAACUUAAGUUGUUGAUAGGCCCUGAAAGCAUUUCUCUUUACACUGUGAAAAUGGAGUGUUGUCAUAUGAAUUCUGUGAAAUAAUUCUUUAUUGCCACAGAACUCAUUAAAUAAUGACGUCUUUGGUUUAAAUGAUUGCCUGACAAUUAUCUUAGUGUGUUCUAUGUUCAAAUGAGGGUAUGAGUCAUGAGAGAUAAUGAAUGAAUCAAAGCAUCUCACUUCCGAAUGUUAAAAAUGGAAUUUACUCAUUUUUAUGUAAUCUAUCAUCUUUAAAUCAGUCUAAACAGCAGAACACUGCCUUACAAAUUUUUUCAAAAGUCAAUAGUUAAAAUGUAUGGAUUUUUUUUAAAAGUUUCAUUUUUCAACUGGAUAGUUAACUUCAAAGAAACAUGUAGACUCAGAGUAUAAGAAUUUAUGGUCAGGAUGACACACACCUGAAAUACCAGCUACUCUGCAGGUAGGAUUACCUCUGGUCUGAGGCUGGCCCCAGGCAAAAUAUGGAAAAUCCUAUCUGAAAACUAAAGCAAAAAAUGGCUAUGGGCAUGACUCAAGGGGAUCUGCCUACCAAGUG